GUUAAAUAGAGACGUUUAACUCCUGAGCAAACAAUUUGCUGAAUAUUUAUUUAAACAAAAAUUAUUUGUAUUAAUAAUUGUCAAAUUCAGAAUGUCAUUUGGUUCGUUUUCUAAAUUCCGAAAAUAUGGGCAGUUUAGUAUCUUUCAUCGGCAUCUAUUCGUAUUCGCUUCUGAGCCAAAUUUUCAUUCCAACAAAAGCAACGUUAUGUCCCCAGCAACACUAUCACUUUCAUGGAAUUAAACAUCAUCAAAAUUGCGAUUUGAAUUUAUGCUUGGAGCAAGUCCCAAACUGCGGUGAAUCUCUGCAUGAUAUCAUCAAGGAACACGUCCAUCUUUUUGCUCCCGAAUAAAUGUCAAAAUGAUAAUUAACCGAAAAAUUCAAGUUACUGCUUUUUACACAGAAAAUUUUCGUUUUUAUUUAAAGUUUUGUAAAUGAAAAUUUGAGAGUAUGUAAUUUUGAAUAAAAAUUUGCCCCAACCGUA